rnacentral:tRNA from 1 species
GGGUGCUUAGCUCAGUUGGUUAGAGCGCUCGCGUCACAUGCGAGAGGUCGCGGGUUCGAAUCCCUCAGCGCCCACCA